rnacentral:lncRNA from 1 species
GAAGGUGGCAGAGGAGGAAGGUGAUGAUUGCUAGUCAAGAAUGCUUCCGAAGCAUGUAAGCAAGCAUGACCAAUAGCAAUGAGGUGGUGGCGGUAGUGAGAACAAAAAAAUAAUCUAGUUUACAAAUGAUGUUACACUACUUAUUCAAAAGUUACAAUAUUCGAACAUAUAUGCAUUGUUUAGUAAGGGAGUUAACCUAUUUUGCAGUUUAAUAUAUGUAACAAAUAGUGCAACUUUCAUACUAAGUGCAAUAUAUGUUAGAAUAGUAUAGUUUUUUUAAUAAAUAGUAUACAAUAUUGCGUCGUAAGCCUUUUUUUUUUUCUUUUACUACUGCCGCUGCUUCAUCGCUGUCAGCCACCUUUGCAUACCCAUUCAUGCUUCAAGAGAAUUUUUGACCAAUCUCCGGCGAUGUUCCUAGCAGCGCUACCCUCGUCAUUACCGUGGCGAUCUGGCUGAAAAACGUUUGAGAACAGUAAUGAUCACAGCCAAGGCCACAGCUAGCAGCAAGUAAAGUUUCGUCAUAGUCAUUUUCGUCGUACACGGAAAGAAAAGAAGAAGUGUGAUGGCAUUAUCGAGACGACAGAGAAGUGAAAGUUGGAGGAGAAAGAUAGCAUAGAGAGAGAGAAUAGAAAUAUUUUAAUUAUUUAAAAAAUUUCAAGCUGAAUCCAUAAAAAAAUAAUAAUAAUAAAAAAUCCCUACUCAAAAGCAAAAUUGUAAAAUCAAUGAAUUUUUUUAUU